UGGGGAAUAUUGCACAAUGGGGGAAACCCUGAUGCAGCAACGCCGCGUGAAGGAUGACGGUUUUCGGAUUGUAAACUUCUUUUCUUAGUGACGAAGACAGUGACGGUAGCUAAGGAAUAAGCAUCGGCUAACUACGUGCCAGCAGCCGCGGUAAUACGUAGGAUGCAAGCGUUAUCCGGAUUUACUGGGUGUAAAGGGAGCGCAGGCGGGACUGCAAGUUGGAUGUGAAAUACCGUGGCUUAACCACGGAACUGCAUCCAAAACUGUAGUUCUUGAGUGAAGUAGAGGCAAGCGGAAUUCCGAGUGUAGCGGUGAAAUGCGUAGAUAUUCGGAGGAACACCAGUGGCGAAGGCGGCUUGCUGGGCUUUAACUGACGCUGAGGCUCGAAAGUGUGGGGAGCAAACAGG
rnacentral:rRNA from 2 species